rnacentral:lncRNA from 1 species
GAAAUAUAAGAUGAAGAAUUAAAAGGCAGAGGUGCCCGCGACAAGUGCUGCAACAUUUUGUUUUGCUUGCUAAUGUCCAAGAAAGGUAAUGAACUAUCCACGCAUACUAUAUUAUAUUUUUCUUUUCGCAACUCAUACUAUAUAUAUAAUAACGUAAUGAAAUAAGUAAUAGGUAGAAACUGUGGACGAGAAUGACAAAUGGAGAAGACGAUUCUGGCUACAGAUUUCAACGUUUAUGCAGUCUUCGAGAGUUGUGUUUUGUGUUGUGUCCGAGAGAGAGACGACGUAGAUGUCAAAUCCCUGCAUCCGAACCCACGUUCUCCAUCCUUACAUUCCUUUAAGAAACAAAGCUAAUUUAAUUGGACAUAUUUGAUCGUUUAAUUCAUUUAUCUAUUCUAUAGUUUAUGUUUAUGUUUUCUUCCUGUGGAGGAAACUCAGGAAAGGCUUAUUUAAUCAUGUAAACCAGUCAACCACGAUAUAAAUACUUUUUCUAGUCCACACUACUGAAUUUCUUCUUGUAACAUUUUUUUCUCCAGAUUAUUGAAAGCCUCUUAAAGUUGAUAUUCAA